CUCUGUCCCACCUCAGGGCCCGGAUGGAGGAACUCUUGUAGAGAGGAGUGGACAAGAUCAGCCGCGCAGUGAACGAGAGCUCCUCUGUCUGUCACAUGUCUGGUGGAGAGUGUUUGAAAGCAGUGCCUGCAUCGUUUCCUCUCUCCCCCCUCUCUCUCCAGCCCUCGGACCAGAGGAUGAGAGUAUCCUUCCUCAAGUG